AGAUGCGCCAGAACUACAGUGACCACAAUGUUGCCAAGUAACGUUAAAUCAAAAUCUGGUUUUCAGAAAAGGAAAGAGAGAAAAGAGAGAGAGGAAAGACAAAGAAAAGGGUGUCACACUGUAACCCAGUUUUUCACCAAAAAAGACUUAACAACAGAUGAGUCAGCAGCACCCCAGUCUCCCCCUAACAGCCCCUCCCUGUCCCAGUGAAGAAGAUGAGAUGGAUAUUGGAAGAUAUUUCAGCAGAGAGAAAGAGAAGCAGGAGAUUGGCAGAGCAGUUGAUCCUGAUUGAGUGACGUCCCUGGUGGUGUGAGAACCACCACCAAGACUGGGAAGGCAGAAGAAGGCAACUCGGGG